GACGAACGCUGGCGGCGGGCUUAACACAUGCAAGUCGAACGGAAAGGCCCCUUUGGGGGUACUCGAGUGGCGAACGGGUGUGUAACACGUGAGUAACCUGCCCUUGACUUCGGGAUAACUUCAGGAAACUGGGGCUAAUACCGGCUAGGAAUCCUUGCGGCAUGGUGGGGGUUGGAAAGCUUCGGCGGUUUUGGAUGGACUCGCGGCGUAUCAGCUUGUUGGUGGGGUAGUGGCUUACCAAGGCGUUGACGGGUAGCCGGCCUGAGAGGGCGACCGGCCACAUUGGGACUGACAGAAGGCCCAGACGCCGACGGGAGGCAGAAGGGCGGAAGAUUGCACAAGGGGCGGCAGCCGGAUGCAGAAAGGCCGCGUGCGGGAUGACGGCCUUCGGGUUGUAAACCGGUAUUAGCAGGGGCGAAGCUUGUGGUGACGGUACCUGCAGAAGAAGCACCGGCUAACUACGUG
rnacentral:rRNA from 1 species